UCGUGUGACAAAGCACCCUAAUGCAAUGCUUAUAUCCUAAUGCACAUGAUUAUGGAAUUUCCUCACCAUCGUCGAGGGGCGAAAAUCAUAAAUGUACCGCCUCUCACAUGCCAAUACUAAUUACUGAGGUGUCAUAUAUCACAGAUCAGCACGAUUUACUAGAGUGCAGUUUAUCACAUACCUACACAACUUCAAAAUCCUUGUAAGGAUAAGGUGGACCAAUCAACUCAAGGAACCACCCUAUGGCUCAUCACAGUCAUAACUAACACUAUGGUCUAUCACGAUCACUACUAACACUGUGGCCCAUCACGGUCACCACUAACUAUGAAAUGCAUGAGCAUAUAAUUAUUAUCAUAUAACAAACAUGACUCGUGUGACAAAGCACCUUAAUGCAAUGUUUAUAUCUUAAUGCACAUGAUUCUGGAAUUUCCUCACCAUCAUCGAGGGGCGAAAAUCAUAAAUGGACCGCCUCUCACAGGCCAAUACUAAUUACUGAGGUGUCAUAUAUCACAGAUCAUCACGAUUUACUAGAGUGCAGUUUAUCACAUACCUACACAACUCCAAAAUCCUUGUAAGGAUAAGGUGGACCAAUCAACUCAAGGAACCACCCCAUGGCUCAUCACAGUCACCACUAACACUAUGGCCUAUCACGGUCACUACUAACACUAUGUCUCAUCACGGUCACCACUA
rnacentral:lncRNA from 1 species